UUGUUUUCAACCAAUACUCUGUAACACCAGUUGAGUGUCAAUUAAUGAGGUGCCUGUAUUAAAUACAUUUGAAGAUCAAUCCAUAAGUCCAAUAGAUAAUGAAGCUGCUGAACAGUCGUCAAAAAAAAAAAAAAAACAAUGUAAAAGAUAAUAUAGUUAAUACUUCCAUGACAAUUGAUGAUUCAUCUAAUAAUUUGUUGUCCAUUACUUUGGAACCAAUUUAGAAAAGAACCUUACAAUGUAUUAUAAUGGACGUUUGCAAUGCUGAAUAUUUCACAAGGAAUGAACACGGGUUUAUUUUUGAAAUGUCUAAGGAAGUUGUACUUCCUAAUUUAUAUUGGAAGAGUGAACAUCUUAAUACACAAAAUGCAACAUGUUUUUAUCAACAAGACACUAAUGAUGUGUUCUGGCUGUCAAGGGUUGGUAAAAAGAAUGAAAACAAAAAUUGAAGCUAAAAACAACUAUCGUAAACUAUGAUUGCUGAAAAGACAGAAAUUGUAUUCAAGCUAAGAAAAAAAAUGGCAGAAAUGAAAAGAAAUUGUCAACUUAGACUUGUAUUAAAACCAUUAGGAAUUUCAAAUAUCGUCAGUGGAAAGAAAAAAGGGCGUAAACGAUGUUUUUGAUGAAAUUUGUUUUUUUUUUAAUUAAGGGGUAAAUGACAUAAUUCUGUUGGUUAUUAUAAUUAUUGAUAAUAUCUAUAAAUUUUGUUUUGUUAAUUUUUAAAUAAACAGAGUAGAAUAAAAUUAUAAUAAUAUUAUUAUUAUGCUGGUUGUAACCACCAAAAUCCAGGUUAAUAACAAGAAUAAGGCGUAAGCUGUAAAAAGCGUAAGCGACAUACUCCCAAUAAUGUUAGACGUAAGCACUAAAAACUAAUGUAUACUAAUGUAUACUACUAUUUAUAUACUAAUGUAUUUAAAUUAACAUUACAGGUAAAAAAAUAACAAUUCAUAAUUUAUUAUGUUACCAACUUAUUUAGAAUAUA